GAGGUUUGAGGCUUCAGGAGAGAUUUAUUGAAGGCCCUCCUGUUAACAUCUAUAUUGCAGAUGGUUCGGGUACUGGUAAUGGGCUUAGUGUACGGGAGUUAUACAACACACUAGGUGGCAAUAUCUUUCAUCGCAUGAUGCAUCAUCUCCUGAUUGGUCGACAAGUCAUCUUGAGAGGUUCAUCUACAAAAAUAAUAUCUGCCUUAAUUCAUUCAUUACAGCCAUUGCUCCCGAAGCACUGCUACAAGGCAAUACAAUUUUCUCCACAUUAUAUUGCUGGUACAUCCUGUAACAUACUGGCCUUCAGUCAUUGGUAAAUAUACCACAAGCUGUCUUAGAAACUGUAAUUUGUGCCUUAUUGAAAUAAUUUCCAAAAAAGAAAAUUCUGACAUACAAGAUACGUAUAAUAAAACAAAUUUGCCAAGAACUUCAUCCGUAAUAAAUUUUAAUGUAAAAAAUAAAGAGAUAGAGACUGCAGAUAAUAUCAAGCCAGGAAAUACAGAGGCAACUGAAGCAGAGGAUAUUGUUGAGAGCAUCAAGAAAUUUACGUUUAAGGUAAAGUGUUGCAUAGUUUUUUCAUAAAACUCCUGUAUGCAGUUUUGUGAUUUUUUGCAUGAUGUAUCAAAAGUUACAGUAAGAAAAUUAACUUUUUUACAUGCAAACAAAAUUAAAUGUUAAAACUGCAAGGGGUUA